UCCUCCAAACCGCCCCCAAAUCAACUCGACCUGCCCUCCAUGGCCGCUCCACCCCACCACCGCCACCCCAAUCGUGAUGUGCCCUCGCCACCGCAACCAACCACCGCACCCCCGCCUACACCCCCAGCCACCGCGAGUCCCCGACCCCUGCCUUCGUCGCCCCCAACGCCCCACCGCAGCACCACCGAGCAUACAGCUGACACAGAUCUAGGUCGCCGCCGACCGGCCCCAUCGCCGAGCCACUCCACCGCCGACCACUGUCCUCCGCCUAACGCUCCAUUGCCACCACCAUACUCUGCGAGCUUCCUCCCCCGAGCAGGACUUGUCACCGGUGCACCGACCAAGGCCUCCUCCUCUUUGUCCUCUGCCCCAAGCAACGGAGCGUCCAUCCCCUCCCGCGAGCAGCUCUGCCUCCUCUACUUCCUUGUCCCAAAGAGAGCAUUUGAUAGGGAUCAAGUUGUUGGGUGGCCGCCUCGUGGGAGCUACCGGAAGAACACACUAGCCGCCAAUGCUACAAAGACCAAGGUGGAGAACAAAGGUAAAAGCAAGGCAUGAUACUGCUAUGUCAAGGUCAGCAUGAAUGGAGUCCCAUACCUAAGGAAGGUCGACCUCAAGACUUAACUCGAGCUAUACAAGAAUCUUUCUCUAGAGCUCGAGACGAUGUUCAGCUGCUUCAUCACUAGAUUGCGUACACUAUGAUCAGAUCUGUUUGGCAGAUUUGAGUACCCUGAGCUCAUCUCAUUUGAAGAAAGCAGCAUUUUUCAGUUUCAGAUUCAUGUCGGCAUACAAAGCUAAUAGUACCACACCAAGCAAUCAUGAAAACAAAUAUUCUUGCAAAACAUCAACAAGAGACAGGCUCACAAAUGGUUCUAGGAUAAAUGCUCUUAGGGACCAGGAGUAUGUCCUAACCUAUGAAGAUAAGGAUGCUGAUUGGAGCUCUUUGGCGAUCUUCCUUGGUUUCUAAAAGAUGCAGAAGUUGAUGGAAGUUUGGAAGAUCUACAAGUUGCUGGAGGUUUGGAAGAUCUACAAGUUAGUGGAGUGAUAACAUAUAUGUAAUAUGUCUUGUUUGUUGAACCUGGAGACAUUGCAAAGUUUUACUCUGCUCAUUUUGGUGGUUGUUUUGGCACACAAGCCAUUGUAUCCUCAUUUUGCUUGUGGGCCACAAUUUUUGUUUAUCUUGAAACAUAUGUACAUAUGUCUUUGGUCUGUUUAUAUUAUUGAAUGAGGCCUUACAGAUAACUU